UACGUUGACGGGGGAGCGUUACUGGUCGUUACUAGGCGUAAAGUGUGGCUAGACGGUUUAAGAACUUAUAGGCUAAAUAAACGGGAUAACAAUGCGCCUCAUAAAACCUUAAUACUAUCUGAGAGAGGGGGAAGUUUGCAAUACGUAUAACCUAGAGAUAAAAUUCUGAAAGGCUAUAGGGAUUCUCAAGUGCCACGGCAGCAAACUACCCUUACUCUGACAUUCAACCACUAAAGUAUGGAGAUCGAAUAGGAUUGGAGACCCUAAUAGUCCAUACCCUGAAUCAAUGGGUACCAUACGUGAGGUAAUUGUAUCUUGUGUAUCAGCUUACGCGUAAGUGCCUCGCCUGGGGAGUAAGGCUGCAAUGGUAAAACUUAAACAGAUUGGCGGGAGUUUGUAUGAACGGUGGAGCGUGUGGUUUAAUUCGACAAUCCACGUGAGAUCUUACCAAUGAAUUGAAAAAUCCAUAAUGAUAAAUUUUAUUAGAAUUUUCGAAGGGUUUUUAGCUGGCACUGCAUGGCUGUCGUCAGUUCGUGUUGUAGAAUGUAAUAUUUAGUUAUUGAACGAACGCAACCUUUAAUAUAAAUGUCAUACUCAAUUUUUUGUUGAUGAUACAGUUUUUAACUGCGCGACGAAAUUCGGUAUUAUUUAUAUCACGACAAAGGGGGUUAUUUAGACUGUUAACUUUGCAACCUGUUGACUCAUGAGGCGAAAUGUUCCGAUUGAUAGGGCUGCGUUUCGGUUCUCGAUUCACGCCUUUUGCAUACCGUCCGGUUGCAGAGGGCUCGUGAGCUUGCGGAGGAGGGCUUUUAGAGCCGGAAUUUGUGAGCCGUGACGUAGUGUUGCAACUUUAAUUUUGUUGACCCUUUUUGUGGAAGUUAAGUAGAAGUCAAGUCAUUAUGGUCUAGAUGUGUUGGGCUACACAUGCGCUACAAGGGUAAAGACAGUGAGAGGCGAGGGCGUGAUCCCAAGCAAAUCUUAAAAAAUUAUCCCAGUCCAGAUUGUUGAUUGAAACUCAUCAGCAUGAAGUCGGAAUCGUUAGUAAUCGUGAAUCAGUAUGUCACGGUGAAUGAUCUAUCAAACUU
rnacentral:rRNA from 1 species